rnacentral:ribozyme from 1 species
GAAAGAAAGGGCAAAAGCAAGAUGGAAGAAGAAAAAGAAGAAAUAUAUAUAUACAUAUAUAUAUAUAUAUAUAUAUAUAUAUUUCUUCUUUUUCUUCUUCCAUCUUGCUUUUGCCCUUUCUUUC